ACUUCAUUCUCAAAGCAGCCCUACGACAUAGGUCCUACCGUUAUCCUAUUUUAUAGGUGUUUGAGGUGACACACUGUUACACAAGGACCAUGUGACUUCAGGCACCCUGGAACUCAGGAAGAGAAAGCCCUCCCUCAUGAAGCACAUGCCACGCCAUCUGAUCACAGCGAGGACCUUCCAUGAUGUGUAAGUUGACUGCAGAGUGAAGAAGCCAAAAGCUAGCGUGGACAGGAUGGCCUCUCACAGGUGGACAUAGCAACCCCAGGAAACACCUCUGACCCAGACGGAUGGGAACUGGUAUGAGCAUUUUUGCAUGUCCAGUAAUGAAGGCUCAAAGAUGGAGCUGAAUUCCCUGGCAUGGGGUUCCUGGAUGGUUUUAAGCCACCAUGUGACUGUAGGGAACCCAACCUGGGUCCUCUGUGAAAACAGCUCCACCAUCUGAAGUUUCCAUAGUCUCUUGAACAGCGCCACCUGCUGGAGACAGAGUCUUCAGGCACACGAACCUCUCUCAGGGUUGGGAUUCCACAUCCAAACCGCAGAAGCUGGUCUUGCCAGCCUGCUGUCAGCCUCUCAGCUCUGGCCACUCCAUCCAAGGACCGCUGCUGUCUGCUAGCAGGGUGAGGAAGAUUUAAGAUGUCAUCUGUCCCCAUCAGUGCCCUAAGUAUACAGGGCUGAGUGGUUGCUCUCAAGCUGUUCCCACCGGGCAAUGGAACCAUUCCUUACUUACUGGUUUAUUAACAAAAAAACAUUUCCUAACUCACUAUUGUAAUAAUAAUGAUUAUUGCAAUUCAA